UACGUAGGGGGCGAGCGUUGUCCGGAUUUAUUGGGCGUAAAGAGCGUGUAGGCGGCCAGGUAGGUCCGUUGUGAAAACUGGAGGCUUAACCUCCAGCUGUCGAUGGAAACCAUCUGGCUAGAGUCCGGAAGAGGAGAGUGGAAUUCCUGGUGUAGCGGUGAAAUGCGCAGAUAUCAGGAAGAACACCAGAGGCGAAGGCGGCGAACUGGACAGCAACUGACACUCAACUGCGAAAGCGUGGGGAGCAAACAGG
rnacentral:rRNA from 1 species